rnacentral:rRNA from 1 species
UACAGAGGUCCCAAGCGUUGUUCGGAUUCAUUGGGCGUAAAGGGUGUGUAGGUGGCGCCGUAAGUCGGGUGUGAAAUUUCGGAGCUUAACUCCGAAACUGCAUUCGAUACUGCGGUGCUUGAGGACUGGAGAGGAGACUGGAAUUCAUGGUGUAGCAGUGAAAUGCGUAGAGAUCAUGAGGAAUACCAGAGGCGAAGGCGGCUACCUGGACAAUUGCUGACGCUCAGGCACGAAAGCGUGGGGAGCAAAAGGG